CAACCACAUGUUUCCUUGCACAGAUUAUUGAGGUCAGCUCAGUGAUAAUGAGGAGGAAGUGGAAGAUAAAAGGUUUUACUUGGCCACUUGAAGCAAUAGUUACUGUGAUGGUAUCAAAAUAAAUGGUUUUUAACCUGCGAAAUAGAUGACAUUUCUGCAGUAUUAAAUAAAGCUGUGAGUUUACACAGCAUGGUAACUAAAUAACACAAAGGCAGACAGAAAAGCAACAUUAGACCCUCCCUCUGUAUCCCCUAUGUCUCCUGUAAAAUAUUACUGGCAUCUUCACCUUUACACCCAUUCCCUCGAGUCCUCAGUUCAGGUGAAAUGAGGCUGUUUGUUAACCUUAUGUUGGCUCUUCUCUGGCUGUCAAUCACAGCUACAAGAAAACAUGCUCAGGCAGGAGGACACCGAGGCUGCUGUACAUCUUACUCAAAAAUCCAUGCUGUGAACUCCAUCCUAAGAAGAGGAGGGAUGGUGCAGUGCCAGAGACAGGAGAUCACAGAACUCUGUAAUAUUAACUCAGUUGUACUCAAGUGGAAAUACAGGCAAAUAUGUGUGGAUCCAAACCAUCGCAACACACGGAAACUCCUUCCAAGCUUGUGCAACAGAAAAAUUCAGAAGGGAAGAAGAAAGAUGAGUCACCUGCACAGAAAGAAACCCAUUAUCUGAACAUACUCACCCAACUGACCGUCUUCUUUUACUAAGGAGUCAUCCUCUAUGGGAAACUAUGAUAAGAAUUUUAAAGGUCUGUACAGAAUGAGUUUUUUUUAGCAAAAGCUCAAAAUGUUACAAACAGAUGAGAAGCUGUCAUCAUGAGUCAUUUUAUCUCCAUAUUUACUUUUAAACUGCAGUUUAGUCAGUAAAAUGCAUGUACAUCUACAUGUCUCCAGUGUCAAACUUUGGCACAGUCAUUUACUUUCGCUGCAACUACUUCAUCUCGACUGCAUAUCACUAGUGCAGGACAAAGAGACAUUAGCAGAAACACAAUAGGCCUUCGCAAAACUAUUCAUCAUUCAACAUUUACAUGUCUUCAGGCAAUAUGGCAUGGUGUUAGGGAUAUCAUCAGAGUCUGACUAGCAAAUUGAAAGAUAUCUCUGAAGAUAGAGGAACAUCUCUGCUAUCAGAAUGAAACCUCAACUGAAUUUCAGUCAGUUGAUCCCUAUUGUGCUACAUGCAUGCCACAGGCCUGAAGACGAUACGUAUUCCUGCCAACUGGGGAAGUCGGCAAAUUAACAGUGCAGCAGAAGAACUAGCAAAAGAGAGGCAAUAAACAAAAGAAAGACUAAGCUGGUGAAAACAAUGCAGAUGCAUAAUGUGUUAAGAGAUAGCUUUGCUGGCCUUCUUGCUAAUAGUUAGAUAAGAAUAAAUAAUGCUGUCACAUCUGUACGACAAAUUUAAGGCUUUGACCGACAGUUGGUUAGCGUAGCUUAGCACAGUAGCUAAAACUAUAGGAUUACCAGGAUGAAUGGGGAAACAGCUAGCCAGGCUCUCUCCAAAGGUAAUAAAAUCCACCUCAGUACCUCUUUAGCUCAUCAAUUAACUCAAGCUCAACCCUAAGAAUCAGAAGUGAUUAUUAUUUUAAAAGACUGGUAAUGGUAGGAAGCUAGGUCCAAUUUUUGGUCUGCAUCUAUUAUCACACUAGCACAUGAAACAAGCCACUUAGAUAACUAUUUCAUUUGCCACUGGAAUGCAGGAAGACUGGCCAAAUUUAUUUCAGUAUAACUGAAUAGAAAUGGGCUGGCUGGAUGUCAUUAAACCUCAUGGAAGACUUUGUCAUGGUGCUUCCCUACUAGCUAAACUCUCAGUGCUCUGCUACUGUACGUCCUGCCUGGUCACUAGAGUACCAUACUAAUGGUUUUAGCAGAUACCAAAUAUUAAAGGACUCAGAAUGGAUCAAGAGAAAGAAAAAAAACUCCAUUGGGAAAUCCCUAAUUAACAUAUAAUUGGUUUAAGAUAUAUACAAACCAAGAUGCAAAAAUAGUGGUAGUCGACUAUUUUGUGCUCAUGGCCAAGACAAAGCAACAACUUUUUUGUUCUUAUUCAUGCAUUUUAACACAGUUUAUAUGUGGACGAUUUAACAAACAAGACAUAAUGAGUGAGCUUUAGUGGUGCCAGUAGAUGGAUCAUGUUACUGUUACAGCCAGUUUAGCUGUUUCCCAUCAGGUCUCCUCAUUUUGCGACAUCUUUUGUACAAAAUCUGCAAGCUGCUUUUGAGGUAUCUUUCUGAAAUUUGUGUUUUGUUGAAAAAUGAACUGGUUUACAUUUGCAUUUCUAGUAUCCUAUUUCUUAUGUUCAAAUGAAAAAAUAUAUUUCUUUA